UACGUAGGGAGCAAGCGUUGUUCGGAUUUACUGGGCGUAAAGGGCGCGUAGGCGGCGUGUCAAGUCGAUUGUGAAAUCUCCGGGCUUAACUCGGAACGGCCAAUCGAUACUGACGUGCUAGAGUGCAGAAAGGGCAAUCGGAAUUCUUGGUGUAGCGGUGAAAUGCGUAGAGAUGUGGAGGAACACCAGUGGCGAAGGCGGCUCUUUGGUCUGUAACUGACGCUGAGGCGCGAAAGCGUGGGGAGCAAACAGG
rnacentral:rRNA from 1 species